rnacentral:lncRNA from 1 species
GCUAUGUUCUUCGUCAUUUUUGCCUUCGAAUCAGAGCCAGAUGAUCUUCGAAUCCUUCUCGGUUAUGUGUUAUCGAUCCCAUUUGAAGCUUUUGCUGAAGUUUUUUUUAUGGUUUCCGGUGAGAGAUACUGUUCGUAGAUGUUUCAACGAAUGUUGAGCGGAUAAUCGGAAUUUUCCUGUUAUCCGAGGUCCGAUCCUGUAUCAGUGGGUGUUUUGGGUAAUUUUCCGGCAUCCCUGGCCUUAUUCCAACGAGUUCUUCAUAUUCUAAGGUUUUCCGAUUUUCGGACCUAGAGUUUUGAUGUUAUCUGAUGACUUUGUCUUCACUUGAUAGACGUUUUGGGUAAUUUCCGGCGUCUGUGACCUUAUUCUGGUGAGUUUCAGAACCUACGAUUUCCGGUGUUAGACCAAGGGUUUUAUCUGUCGAUUGAAGGCCGAUCUUCUCCGGUCGCGAAGAAGGAGGGUAACUCUGUUCUUACUCUGAGUAUUGUUUGUCUUGCAUGUGAAUUCUGAUUCUGUUGUACUUUGUUUACCGAGACUGUUUCCUUCUCAAAAUUGAUUUGCUGUUUAUGGCUUCUAAUAUGAAUGCUAGUACCUCCUCAGUAGACUCUACCAGUCCCCUUUUUUUGAGUAGUGUAUGCUUUGUAUGUGAAUUCUGGUUGCGUUACAUUUUGCUUACCAAAAUUGUUUCCUUUUCAAACUGGUUCGUUAAUCAUGGCUUCUAAUACGAAUGCUAGUACCUCCUUAGUGGACUCUACCAGCCCCCUUUUUGUUUACUCCUCUGAUGUUCCUCGGGUCUCUCCAUUUUGCUUACGAAAAUUGUUUCCUUUUCAAACUGGUUCGUUAAUCAUGGCUUCUAAUACGAAUGCUAGUACCUCCUCAGUGGACUCUACCAGCCCCCUUUUUGUUUACUCCUCUGGUGUUCCUCGGGUCUCUCUUGUGCCCACUCCCUUCUCGGGCAGUGGUUAUGGGGGUUGAAGGAGGAAAAUAAUUGUCGCGUUAUUUGCUAAAAACAAAAUUGGUUGUUGAUGGCACAUGUUCCUGGCCAGUCACUAAUGUGACUCAACAAAGAUUAUGGGACAGAUGCAAUAAUAUGGUGAUUUCCUGGUUAACUGCCUCCCUCUCCCCUCAAAUUGCUGAAAGUGUGCAGUAUUCUGAUACUCCACAGAGUAUAUGGUCCCAACUUCAGGCCAGAUAUGGCACUGCAAACAGGACAAAAAUUUUUGAAUUGAAAAGAGAGCUUUCUCACACCUCUCAAGGGUUCCUAGAUGUAGCUUCAUAUUUUAAUAAACUCAAAGGUCUGUGGGAUGAAUUAGAAUCAAUGUGUCAACAAGGGUAGGAGAACUGUUGCUGCUCAUCUUACUGCUGGUGUGGAUUUUCCUCCUUCUAAAGAACAUGUGGCUGUUCCCCAAGGGAAUCCUCCUCAAAACCAUCAAUCUGGUACAAACAUAGAUGGCCAGAGUUCUGUGAUACCAGGGUUGAGCAGACAACAGUAUGAUCAAUUGAUGAGCUUAUUACAACAGACCCAGUUAGGGGACUCCA